rnacentral:rRNA from 1 species
CCUACGGGAGGCAGCAGUGGGGAAUUUUGGACAAUGGGCGCAAGCCUGAUCCAGCAAUGCCGCGUGCAGGAUGAAGGCCUUCGGGUUGUAAACUGCUUUUGUACGGAACGAAACGGUCUGCUCUAAUACAGUGGGCUAAUGACGGUACCGUAAGAAUAAGCACCGGCUAACUACGUGCCAGCAGCCGCGGUAAUACGUAGGGUGCGAGCGUUAAUCGGAAUUACUGGGCGUAAAGCGUGCGCAGGCGGUUAUAUAAGACAGAUGUGAAAUCCCCGGGCUCAACCUGGGACCUGCAUUUGUGACUGUAUAGCUAGAGUGCGGCAGAGGGGGGAUGGAAUUCCGCGUGUAGCAGUGAAAUGCGUAGAUAUGCGGAGGAACACCGAUGGCGAAGGCAAUCCCCUGGGCCUGCACUGACGCUCAUGCACGAAAGCGUGGGGAGCAAACAGGAUUAGAUACCCUGGUAGUCCACGCCCUAAACCGAUGUCAACUGGUUGUUGGGUCUUCACUGACUCAGUAACGAAGCUAACGCGUGAAGUUGACCGCCUGGGGAGUACGGCCGCAAGGUUGAAACGUCAAAUGAAUUGACGG